rnacentral:lncRNA from 1 species
CUGAAAUUUAAGAAAUGUUGUUAAAAUUACAAAAAGAAGAGAAGCUCUGGAAAAGCCUUUUUYCCACAUUUCUGUAAAAGUAACAGUACAGUUUUUCAAAACAGUCUAGGGAAUUUUGACACAUCUUAAUAGUAUCUCACURAUUCYUAAUAAUUUAGACAUAUUUCUAAAUUCCCAAGACUGAUCUGAAAAAUGUCAGCUUAAGAAAACCUGCAAAUGAGUAAAUAAAAAUAUAAUGCCUCUUGCCUUUAUUCUAUAUGACAAAAUAAUCAACUUCAGUCAUUACACAGGCAUUAAACAGAAGGAUAAUGAUUUCUCAAGUAUCCCAUCAUUUCCACAGAUUGCAAUUUCCUUUGUUCCACUGUAAUAUUUUCAUUAAACAGUAGAAUAAAAGUGUUCUGUUUUUACAGAACCAUUUCUGUAAUGACGGUCAAACUCCAUUAAUUCUUUAGAAAUUUUUUUAGCUUAAUUUUUUCCAAACAAAUAAGAUAUUUCCCAAUGAGGUCAUCAUGCUCUGAGGCAGACAGAAGCAUUACAAAACACAGUUCUGCCCAAGCAGCUUUCUUAUUGCUACACCUGCCUAUGAUGUAUUUAUAUGGAUGUCUACCAUAAGGUGAUAAAUACAUUAAAGAUGAUGCACCUUUUUAAUGUGUUUCCUUUUUUUAUCAGGCACCCAAACAUCGUACACACAGACCUAUACACACACACACAAGUAUAUACGUACAUGGAGGAUAAGACAGUCCUCUUGGCAAUGGGGAAACCAGCUGAGCAGCACAUAGCUGCUGCAAAACAGCACAGUGCGGAUCUUGGAAAGGAGAAGGGAAAAAAAAAAAUUCUGUUGUAUAUCCCCACCUAGAUAUUUUGUGUCGUCCCCUGCUCCCCCUUAUUUUCUUCCCUUCUGGCUCUGUGGUUACCACUUUACCAACUUUUAAUGGUUUGCUCCAAUACUGCAGUAUAGGAAUUGGCUUGAAAACCUAAACAUUUUGAUUUCCAUUUGAAAAUAUUCUGUAGCAGUAUCAGCUGAUUUGCUUACUUGCACCUCAGGUGCGAAACGAUUGUGUGUCUUCUGCACGGCCGCAUUUUGUGCCACAUCCCUUAGAGCUAAGCCUAAUACGGUGUAGUAAAGACUAAGAUCCAAAAAUUGACUAUCAGUGUAUAUGGGAUAUCAGGGCAAAAUAUGACAUUYAGUGUUACAUACUUUUCUUAAAGUUUAACAUAGCUUUCUGAUGACGCAGUAGGAAAUACACUAUCUUCUUGGGAUUUUUCGUAAAGAACUGUAAUGGCUUAACCGAAGUUCAUAAAUAGUAUUGAGUUAGUAACACCGGGUAUUGCCCUUCGCCAGUACUUAUCGGGUGGUUUACAGGUUGGUGUGGGCCAGUUAUGUUUCACAUUGGUAUGACUUUACAGAGUUUGCACAAGUUUAAGUGAAGUGAUUUUUAGAACUGUUAAACUGCCAUAAUUUAUAUGUAGAUCAAUUCAUAAAUGCAAAUCCUGAAGGAAGGAAUUAUGUGGGAUAAAAGGAGUAGAUAUCUAAGGGGUUUAUAGUGGCUCUACGUCCACCUGAAGGAGAUUUUCCAGUGGCAAAAAGGUGAAGGCAGUUCUCUUAAGGAUGCUGUUUACAAGGCUAUGUUUCGGGGCUAUAUUGAAGAUGAGCAUGUCAAAGGCUAUUUUGGCUCCUCAAAUGGUCCAGUAUGAGCAGCUUUUAUAACUCCAUCCAUGUUUUGUUUUGUUUGGAGGUAUGUGCUACCCGUCGUAGUGCUGUACUACAAAAUCUUACCCUGAAUGUGAAAGAAAAAGUCACAGCUACUCGGUAUUCAAGUGUUUGCAGGGUUUUUUAACAAUAUUUUGAGAUUAUUUUAAAUAAUUUUCUAUACAACAGUAUUAGAAAAGAAGACUAAGACUAAAUUUUUURUUUUUUCCAGUACAGAUUCUCUCUCUCUUUUAUUUCAUCACAAUUCCCAUGCAGACGCUGUAAGUACAGUUUUGAUAGAUUAGUUGCUUUAGUCUCUAGCUCCGGACAGAACCAGGCCCGUCUUUUUUAGUAACAUUGACAAAUUUCAGACCUUGGCUAAAGGAUAGGCACGAAGAGUUGAACGAAAGCUAUUUGAAAAAGGAAUGUAACUGUGGAAAAUGUAAAAUAUUCUGGGGCCAAGUAAACAUAAUGCUGGGUGUAGAUGAACAUAAUCAGCAUGUGACAGUUUACCAAUUGUAAGCGUCAGUUUGCAGCUGUGUACUCAUGAUGGCCAGUGAGAUCUGAUCGGRGUGUUUGCUUUGUAGAUCCCCAACAGAUUUAAAAUAUCUUUUUAUGGACAUGUCCACAGAUGUUUAUCUCAAGUAAUUUGCAAAAUCAGUUUUCAGGGAAACAGAAAUACAACUCGGUCUUUUAUAGGAGAGGUAAGGCUAAAAUCGUGCUAUAAUAAAACAAAUAUUUGUUUUUUCCUUACA